rnacentral:sRNA from 1 species
GUCUGUGUAGAGUACACUGAGGAGUACUUAAUUUAAGGAUUGUAUUUUGACCAAGGAAAGGGGGCAGAGUAUUGGUGGUGACAGAUGGAGUUGCACCAAGGAGACAUGGGUUGGGGCAGGGAGGAAGGAGGUAGAGGAUCCUGGUUAGGUCCAGGCUAGGGAGAGAGGUGCCCUUUCUCCCUCCCUCCCUCUCCCAUCAGGGCAGAGCAGAAAGGAGAGCGGGUGAAGUGAGUGCAGGCAGGGUUGUUAAUGAAAGUGUGUCCCUGGGAGGCCUCUCACCUUGCAGUUGACCAGAAGAGCUGGAAUCUCGGUCCUGCUGGUCUUCCUCCUGCUCUCCUGGCCAUGAAUCAGGGCCUGCACCCGGGGAGACGCCCCCUGAAGCCAAUUCGGGUUUCCUUCCACCAGGCGUCUUUGGACCACACUGUGCGGCUGCUGGCUCCAUCACAAAACAAUGAAGGAGGAAGUUGGACGCGGAGAGAAAUGUACAUGGGGAGAACGCCACGUGAAGGCUGAGUUCGGGAUGAUGCAUCUGCAAGCCAAGGAACACCUAAGAUGACCAGCAAACCACCAGAAGCCAGGGAGAGGCGUGGAACAGACCCUACCUUACAGCUAUCAGAAGGAACCAACCCUGCCAACACCUUCCUGUUGUACUUUCAGCUUCCAGAACUGUAAGAUGACAGAUUUCUAUUGUUUUAGCCACUCAA